GUGAGGAAUUUUCCGCAAUGGGCGAAAGCCUGACGGAGCAAUGCCGCGUGAAGGAUGAAGGCCUAUGGGUUGUAAACUUCUUUUCUUAGAGAAGAAUAUUGACGGUAUCUGAGGAAUAAGCAUCGGCUAACUCUGUGCCAGCAGCCGCGGUAAGACAGAGGAUGCAAGCGUUAUCCGGAAUGAUUGGGCGUAAAGCGUCUGUAGGUGGCUUCAAAAGUCUCCUGUCUAAGAUCAGGGCUUAACCCUGGGCCGGAAGGAGAAACUCUGAGGCUAGAGUUUGGUAGGGGCAGAGGGAAUUCCCAGUGGAGCAGUGAAAUGCGUAGAGAUCGGGAAGAACACCAAAGGCGAAAGCACUCUGCUGGGCCACAACUGACACUGAGAGACGAAAGCGAGGGGAGCAAAAGGGAUUAGAAACCCUAGUAGUCC
rnacentral:rRNA from 1 species